rnacentral:rRNA from 1 species
ACGGAAGGCAGCAGUGAGGAAUAUUGGUCAAUGGACGGAAGUCUGAACCAGCCAAGUCGCGUGAAGGAUGAAGGUAUUAUGUAUUGUAAACUUCUUUAGCAGUGGAGUAAUAAGGUGGUCGUGACCACUGAUGCAAGUACACUGAGAAUAAGGAUCGGCUAACUCCGUGCCAGCAGCCGCGGUAAUACGGAGGAUCCGAGCGUUAUCCGGAUUUAUUGGGUUUAAAGGGUGCGCAGGCGGCUUUUUAAGUCAGUGGUUAAAUCGCGACGCUCAACGUCAUCACGCCAUUGAUACUGGAGAGCUUGAUUGCGGUCGAGGUUUGCGGAAUUCGUUGUGUAGCGGUGAAAUGCAUAGAUAUGACGAAGAACACCGAUUGCGUAGGCAGCAGACCAGGCCGUAAAUGACGCUCAUGCACGAAAGUGCGGGGAUCGAACAGGAUUAGAUACCCUGGUA